GACAGAGGUGCCAAGCGUUAGGCGGAAUCACUGGGCUUAAAGCGUGUGUAGGCGGGUGCCUAAGUACCUUGUGAAAUCCCACGGCUCAACCGUGGAACGGCUGGGUAUACUGGGUGCCUUGGGUCAUCCAGGGGCUGCCGGAACAAAUGGUGGAGCGGUGAAAUUCGUAGAUAUUCGCAAGAACACCAGUGGCGAAGGCGGCUCACUGGCCCGAUACUGACGCUGAGGUGCGAAAGCGUGGGGAGCAAACAGG
rnacentral:rRNA from 1 species